UAUGACCUGUAACAAAAAAAGUAAACAAAUAAAGUGUCGCACAAAACCGAAAAUGAAUAAUUCAAUGUUUCGUAUUAGGGAGUAUUCGAAAAUAUCCUUCCAGUAUCUUCUACUGCCAGUAUAGUCUAUCGGACAAUUAUUGGAACUUUUUUCCUACGUAACCAUUGGUAGCCUAAGGGGUUAUUCCAAUUACUCGUGGACAGAAUAUUGGACCAAACAGUUCAUUAAUAACAAACAACCCAUCUGUGAUCUCAUUAUCUAUAUAAUAAUACGUGAAGCAAAAACUUUGUACCCUUUUACGAAAAUUGUGCAGACGGAAGAGUAUGAAAUUUCCCACAUUUAUAGAGAAUAUAAAGAAGGAGUGCACAAUGCUAAUAUUUUUUUAAAUAAUACAUAAAAAAUGCAUUAAGCAUUAAAGAAAACAUUACAUAACACACACUAAUAUGUAUUUGACACAUACACGCAUAUAUACUAUUUUUUUAUUGAUAAAGUCUGUGGUCAAGUUGAGAAUAGAUUAAUAUUGAUUUCUUUAAUAUUAUUUGUCUAUAGUGUAGCCUUAGCGAAAUCUGUGAUUAUAGAAGUAAAGUGUCUUUGACAAUAGAACUAUAAUAAUGUUCAAACUUAUAUUUUAAAUUAAUAAUUAUUAUAGUCGAAUUUCGACUACCGGGCAACCACUACUUCAUAUAAAUAUACCAUUUUCUAAUACGUGUGAAUCUCAAAUUCCUUUCCGGAUGGAUUGAUAAAUUGCACGUGUUUUUAUUAAAAUGUAUUUUAAUAAUUACGAAAAUAAAUUCUUCGAAUUUUUUCAGCGUUUCAACAGAGCGAUAAAAAAUGCAUUUGUUAUUCUUACUCCAAUAAAAGCGAGAAGUGUGAAACAGGCGAUCCACGUUGCGGAAGCCAUCUUGUUCUUUGGAUAGAACGGGUCCGAUUAGUGAUUUUAUACUGACGCUUUAUCAAUUUUCCAUUGUGUUUGAACCAACUCAUGUUUAAAUUAUUAAAGAUUAGACGUAUCACGGUGACUAAGGGCUGAUUUAUUCAGUAAAUUAGACGUGCUGGGCGAAGAAAGAAAUCAUGGCUCCGGAAUAUCCGGGAGUGGACCGGUAUUGCCUCCGUCGAACAGCUGUUCCGGCUGGCUGCAGAUAAAAACGAAUAUAGAAAGCUAACGGCCAACCUUCAGGAUUGAAGAAGCACUGGAAGAAGAAGAAUGUGAAUUUGAAGUUUUCUAAUAGUAGUUAGUAAAUGGUAUAGUUAAAAAUAAUAUUGACAAUCUUGUGAUACGUUUUCGAAAAAUUUAAAUCCUUUUUUAAUCGAUCUCAGAAAAGAGGAGGUUCUUAAUUCGACUAUUCAAUUAUGUGUUUGUGUGACCUUUUCUAUAUAUACCAAUACUGAUGAUUCUUUUAUUUAAAGGCUGGUGCUUCUCAUGUGGCCUCAUUUAAAUCUUAUCAAGAUCUGACCCGUAGUUUUUGAGUUACCAUUAAAAAUGCAUAUUUAAUUGACUCCUACAACAUUGGAGUCAGUUUUCUUCGUUGUUGUAAAUUUGUAUUAAUUUAUAAAUUAUCUAUUAAUAUAAUAAAUAAAAUAGAUAUUAUAUAUUUUUUAAUAUGACGUCAGUUGUGCGCGCUCCAGUAUGUAUCACAACCCCGGCCGUAUCUGUGGCGAACCAGGUCAAUCAGGAUCAAAGUGCGUGACAGAAUUCAUAGGGUAUAAAUGGACUUCCGUAACUGCCUAACAUCAGGCGGAUCGUGAUUUCAUAUGCUCAUUAAAAUUUUAACAAAGUCGCUAUUUAGUGAGAGUAGAAAUAUUCGUGUGGACUCGAAACAAGUUGAAAAUUAACAAGAAAAUUAAACCAACCUUAAAACAUAAUUAUUUCUUCGUUUUCCGCAAGUCGUGUACGUAUUACUUUUACAGCUUUAAUUGUGUGUUAAAAUCCAACUUUUUUAAAUAUUUUAUAGUGUUUGUUGUCCGCACGAAUGUUGUUGUGAAAUGAAACCUUAAAAUAGUUUUACUUACGUACACCACUAAAUUUAUAUUGUAACCAUCUAGAUAUGAUUGAGUGAAAUUUAAAUAAAGUUAGUAUUUGCUUUUAA